rnacentral:lncRNA from 1 species
UACUGAUCACCUAUACAAGUUUAUAUCAAAUUCAAUUAGCGAGAUGACUUAAGAUGAAAGUGGGGGUCCAAGGAUGUUGGUCACAAAUCAAGGGUGGCGAUCAUGGUCCCAUAUGCUGAGGGUUAGGCUGGAUGGGCAAGUGUGAGCUGGAUUCUAUCCAAUUCAAAGGUUAGAGAGAGAACUAGAGAGAGAAAAAAAAAGAUGCGGGGAGAGAGGGAGGAGAGAGAUUUGGAAAGAGAAUGAAAGGCAGAGAGAGAGAUUGAGGAUGAGAGAAAGGGAUCUGGAUAGAGAAGGAGAGAGAAAUAAAGAGAUAUAGAGAGGAUGAGAGAGGGGUCUAUAGAGAAAAUAAGAGAAAGAGAGGGGAAGAGAAAGAUCUAGAUCUAGAGAGAAUGAGAGAAACAUAGAGAGAAAUAAAAGUGAGGAGAGAUAGCGGAAGGGGGAAAAUAGGGCCUUGGGCCAAUCUGCAUGGGGAAAGAGAGAGUAGGGGUGCAAAUAAGUGGAAUCAGACUGGGAUAUGUAACCGCAAUCCAAUCUACUUUCUUAUUCAGAUACUAAUGUUAGACCUAGAUCUAACCUAUUAAAAGAAUAGGUUGGGUCAGAUUGGAUCUGUGAUUAAAAUUUUUGAUCCGGUGAGUCAUUUGAGUUGGGUCAAAUCUAUGUAUAACCCAAUCUCAACCCAAAAGGCUUGGAUCUAGAUCAGUCCACACCAGGUUCAGGUCAGGACCA